GUCAAGAUGCUUUUAUUUAAGAUUAUUCAAGCUGCUUUGACUGCUGUUGGAGCCCCAGACAACCUGGUUCAUGUGAUAACAUGGUUUACAGAAACAAGACAAGCUCUUGUUUCGUCAGUUGACAAAAUCAUUUUUGUUGGAUCACCUGGUGUGGGGAAAAUGAACUAGUGUGGUGAUUCAACUUUAAUUUUCUCAGUUAGGGCAGAUAAUUUGUUCUCUUUAGUGAAGAUUGGUAAUAAGCAAACCCUUCACUUUCAGACAUUGAGAUAGUUGAGAAAAUCUGGGGGAAACAAUCUUAUGGUCACAUCAUUGUAUGUGGUGGUGGGACUACUUUGAAAGAUUUGAGAGGACCGCUCCCUAAUCGAUCUGAUCUGGAAGCAUGGGUUAUAGAAGAAAAGAAAAAGAACCAGAUGGUUCAACAAUGCUUAGAUGAGCAGGAGCAACAACAACAAAUGAUGUCUGAGUUGGAGUCACAAGUGAAAGCUAUGCAAGAACUUUUUUUAGGCAAUCACCUUCAUCGACUCCUUAAACUCGAGAAUAUGUGCAUGACUAGGCUAUCCACGCAAGAUUAGGAGAGGUGGGGUAGCUCGAGUCUUCUUUUGACGAUGAUUAGAGAUGAAAGAAUGUGUCUUCCCUAAACUUUUAUUUUAAUUUGUUAUAAAUAGUUUCAUGUAUUUUUCUUUGGAACAAUUAG